ensembl:misc_RNA Y_RNA Y RNA
AGCUGGUCUGAAGGUAGUGAGUUAUCUCAGUUGAGUGUUCACAGUCAGUUGCAGGUUGAACUCCUGUUCCACACUUUCCCCUCUUCUCACUACUGCACUUGACUAGUCUUAA